GACGAACGCUGGCGGCGUGCCUUACACAUGCAAGUCGAACGGGAUCCAAGGAGUGCUUGCACUCCUGAAGAUCUAGUGGCGAACGGGUGAGUAACACGUGAGAAACCUGCCCCAGACUCUGGGAUAACUUCGGGAAACCGAUGCUAAUACCGGAUAUUCUCCUUUGGUCGCAUGGCCAGUUGAGGAAAGUUUUUCGGUCUGGGAGGGUCUCGCGACCUAUCAGCUAGUUGGUGAGGUAACGGCCCACCAAGGCUACGACGGGUAGCUGGUUUGAGAGAACGAUCAGCCACACUGGAACUGAGACACGGUCCAGACUCUACGGAGGCAGCAGUGGGGAAUCUUGCGCAAU
rnacentral:rRNA from 1 species